CCUACGGGGGGCAGCAGUGAGGAAUAUUGGUCAAUGGGCGCGAGCCUGAACCAGCCAAGUCGCGUGAGGGAAGACGGUCCUAUGGAUUGUAAACCUCUUUUGUCGGGGAGCAAAAGACGCCACGCGUGGCGUUCCGAGAGUACCCGAAGAAAAAGCAUCGGCUAACUCCGUGCCAGCAGCCGCGGUAAUACGGAGGAUGCGAGCGUUAUCCGGAUUUAGUGGGUUUAAAGUGUGCGCAGGCGGAAGAUGAACUCAGCGGUAAAAUUGAGAGGCUCAACCUCUUCGAGCCGUUGAAACUGGUUUUCUUGAGUGAGUGAGAAGUAUGCGGAAUGCGUGGUGUAGCGGUGAAAUGCAUAGAUAUCACGCAGAACUCCGAUUGCGAAGGCAGCAUACCGGCGCUCAACUGACGCUCAUGCACGAAAGUGUGGGUAUCGAACAGGAUUAGAUACCCGUGUAGUC
rnacentral:rRNA from 1 species